UGGCUCAGAGGGUAAAGCAUCUGCCUGCAAUGCAGGAGACCCGGGUUUGAUUCCUGG
rnacentral:tRNA from 1 species